UACGGGGGGGGUAAGCGUUGUUCGGAAUUACUGGGCGUAAAGGGCUCGUAGGCGGCCAACUAAGUCGGAUGUGAAAUCCCCGGGCUUAACCUGGGAACUGCAGUCGAGACUGUCUAGCUAGAGUAUGGGAGAGGGAAGUGGAAUUUCAGGUGUAGCGGUGAAAUGCGUAGAUAUCUGAAGGAACAUCAGUGGCGAAAGCGACUUCCUGGACCAAUACUGACGCUCAUGUGCGAAAGCGUGGGGAGCAAACAGG
rnacentral:rRNA from 1 species